AACGAAAUCAGAGUUUUGAAAAAAUAAAUUAAAAAAAAAAAAUUUCUCAAACCAUUCUCUCCUCUCUCGUGCAAACCACCGGCCAACCAUCAAACUUUGCCGUCCGGUCACCGUUUCAGACGGCCGACCUACCAAAGAGCUUCUCCCGACCCCCAUGAGCAUAACCCAACUAUCCUCGCCUUAAAUCGUUACCCAUAGCCACCGAAAUCAUGCUUGGAAGCUCGCAGCCACCAUGAAGAAAAAGCUCCGAUCCGUCAACUCCGGCCAUGGUUCAGCAUGCCGUUACCACCAUUCACCUCACCAGGCCGAGGAGCACCUAGCCCAUCCAAUUUUCGGCCAAAACAACCCCGGAUGCCGGAGAUUCGACUUUGACGGGAAUUGGGUCCUUUUGACCCGACUUUUGACCGGGCCGAAACUGAACUUUCCGGCGACCCAAAGCUCUAUUCCGAGUUGUUUCGCUGCUCUGAACGCAUUGGUGACGAUUUUGGAUCCAUACGGACAUCUUUGGAGCAUCCCAAGAGAUACAUCACAAAUACCGCGUAUACGUACGAUAUACGUGGAGGUGAUCGAGGAGUUGGACUUAACGCUGUAGACGGUGAAUUAUUUUAUGCACUGCUAUUGAGGUGAGACAGGAUCUAGUGCACAGGCUGCGGAUCAAUAGGAGGACGUGUGACGGAGGUGGCCUGGACUUUUGUGUUUAUUUGACACGUGUGUGUGGAUAUAUAUAUGUAUGGCGUGGUGUUGGCAUGUUUUAGUUGUUUAAGUACAUUGAUGUACUAUGGUUAUGCCUGGAUUGAUGUAUGGUUUUGUUUUGUUGGCCGGGAGUGGUGACCCAGAACUACUGUGUGUUUGAUGAUGAUGAUGGGGUAUGUGUUUGACGGUGGACCUACGGGUAGGUUGAUUUUGAUGGUAUUAGAAGUGCUUUUCUUUGUGUGGGAUCUAUUUACAGGUUGCUUUCCCCAAUUUAUGGGGAGAUGCUGCCGAAAUUUCUAGUGAGAUUAUAAUGGUUUGUAAUGUAGCACGUGAGGUGCACGUUUUGUUUGUCCUUGUCUCUUUCUUCACGCUCCGCGGAUGGGGGCGUGACAACCCCCAUCUACGAGAGUUUUCAUGUGGCGUGUGGUUCAAGGAGUCCUCCCAACUCAGGCCAAUAUGGUAAAGCGUCAUAUAGGUUCUUACUCUGAUUGCCCCAUUUGUAAGUGUCAAGUUGAAUCUACUUUGCAUGCUUUGUGGGAGUGUCCUUCGGCUAGGGAUAUGUUUUGUGCAAGAACCAAGACAAUACAAAAAAUGAAUGGGUCUUUCAUAGGCUCUUUUGUUCAA